UCUGUGUUUAAGGAGCAUGCCGAUUCCUCUUCCAGUAAGAAGGCAAGAAAAAAAAAGGGGACACUAGCUUCAGCCCUUGCUAGGGAAAGACUGAGGUGUGAGAGGGUCUCUAAGUUUGGACAGGAUGGUCAGGCUGGUGGGAGAUCCCGGUUGCUUGCAAAUGAAGGCAGGAGAUUCAUUGAAACGUCAGACUCUGAGCAUAAAAAGGCACGAACUUCCAGAUUCAGAGAUCCA